GACGAACCGUGCGAACGUUGUUCGGAAUCACUGGGCUUAAAGGGCGCGUAGGCGGGUUCUCAAGUCCGGGGUGAAAGCCCCCAGCUCAACUGGGGAAGUGCCUUGGAUACUGGGGGCCUCGAGGGAGGUAGGGGCGUGCGGAACUUCCGGUGGAGCGGUGAAAUGCGUAGAUAUAGGGAAGAACACCAAUAACGGCGAAGGCAGUUAACUAUUCUGCUACUGACAUUGAGGCACGAAAGCGUGGGGAGCAAAACGG
rnacentral:rRNA from 1 species